rnacentral:tmRNA from 1 species
GGGCUUUCACAACCGCGCGACCGUGCCUAUAUCGAUCGUGCCGGGUUCUACCCGGAUAUGGCGAUAAAGUGCGGCGUAGAAUAGACGCAGCGGACCCGGGGGCGGUACCCGGCGGCUCCACCACUUGUGCCGCAACGUCGACAUGCGUGAAGCGUGUUGGCUAAGCGGCUCAGCUGAUGGGGCCGAACUAGGAUCGACGUGUGUUGAAAGGCGCUGUUUUCGCUCGGAAUGGGACCACCGCAACGGCCCAUUACACAAGUGCCAACGAUAACGAAGCACUCGCGAUUGCGGCGUAACUGAAGACCUAACGGUCUGACGUUACACCAAAAUAGCGCGGUUCGGACCCCACCGGGCAACAGAAGGGGAAACC